rnacentral:rRNA from 1 species
GUUUGAUCCUGGCUCAGAUUGAACGCUGGCGGAAUGCUUUACACAUGCAAGUCGAACGGUAGAGGGGGCAACCCUUGAGAGUGGCGAACGGGUGAGUAAUAUAUCGGAACGUGCCCAGUCGUGGGGGAUAACGUAGCGAAAGUUACGCUAAUACCGCAUACGAUCUAUGGAUGAAAGCGGGGGAUCGCAAGACCUCGCGCGAUUGGAGCGGCCGAUAUCAGAUUAGGUAGUUGGUGAGGUAAAGGCUCACCAAGCCGACGAUCUGUAGCUGGUCUGAGAGGACGACCAGCCACACUGGGACUGAGACACGGCCCAGACUCCUACGGGAGGCAGCAGUGGGGAAUUUUGGACAAUGGGCGCAAGCCUGAUCCAGCAAUGCCGCGUGCAGGAUGAAGGCCUUCGGGUUGUAAACUGCUUUUGUACGGAACGAAACGGUGAGCUCUAAUACAGUUUGCUAAUGACGGUACCGUAAGAAUAAGCACCGGCUAACUACGUG